rnacentral:lncRNA from 1 species
CACAGUUCCUGGCCAGACAGCUGCUUCCCAGUGACAAAUCUACUUUAUAUCAAGAGUGAAAUCAUCCAGAAUAGAGUGAAUUCGGGCUUCAGAGCGGCUGUUUAGGAUUCAGAGCUCUACCAACAUGAGCAAUCUGUUGGCAUGACAGGUCAGAGAAGCCGUGAAGGACAUGGAAGGAAGUAGAUGGAACUGGAAACAGGAGGCCAACCCCAGCAGUCAGUGGUGCUCAGAAAAAAAUAAGACACUGAAAUUUGAGGACUUAAUGGAGUUUGGUGCCUUCAGUUAGCUGAUGUCUAUGAAGCCUGACCAGUCUACUUCUAGUCUAUAAGAUCAUGUGGAAGCUUCAGUGACAAACUUCUACUUUACUAAUGAUUUUAUGAUCCUGUUACCCAUUGCAAUUGCUUAAAUGGUAUUUUAAUUAGCUGCUUUAAAUGACUUUGCUUUUUUACAAAAAGCAGUGUGUGCUUUAGUUUAAAAUAUGGGUCACUGGUGUUUCUUUCUAGAAGAUGACUGUGUUUAGUACCAGGGAAAAUUGGUGAUGUAUUUGGAGAGGUUUUAACUUCUGUAACUCAGGUUGAUAUCUGGAAUGUGAGUGUUUCCAUACUUCCGUGGAUGCAGCAAAUUUAUAUAAAGCGUUAUUAAAUUUGUUCUAGUUUUUAAA